rnacentral:rRNA from 1 species
CGGGUGAGUAACACGUGAGCAACCUGCCCCUGACUCUGGGAUAAGCGCUGGAAACGGCGUCUAAUACUGGAUAUGUCCCGUCACCGCAUGGUGUGCGGGUGGAAAGAUUUUUCGGUUGGGGAUGGGCUCGCGGCCUAUCAGCUUGUUGGUGAGGUAAUGGCUCACCAAGGCGUCGACGGGUAGCCGGCCUGAGAGGGUGACCGGCCACACUGGGACUGAGACACGGCCCAGACUCCUACGGGAGGCAGCAGUGGGGAAUAUUGCACAAUGGGCGGAAGCCUGAUGCAGCAACGCCGCGUGAGGGAUGACGGCCUUCGGGUUGUAAACCUCUUUUAGCAGGGAAGAAUCGAGAGUGACGGUACCUGCAGAAAAAGCACCGGCU